UGCGUAGGUGGUUUCUUAAGUCAGAGGUGAAAGGCUACGGCUCAACCGUAGUAAGCCUUUGAAACUGGGAAACUUGAGUGCAGGAGAGGAGAGUGGAAUUCCUAGUGUAGCGGUGAAAUGCGUAGAUAUUAGGAGGAACACCAGUUGCGAAGGCGGCUCUCUGGACUGUAACUGACACUGAAGCACGAAAGCGUGGGGAAGCAAACA
rnacentral:rRNA from 1 species